rnacentral:tRNA from 2 species
AAUGACGAGCCUGAUUAAAGGAUUAUCGUGAUAGGAUAAAAUAUGUAGACCAAGUCUACCAUCAUUA